rnacentral:rRNA from 1 species
AACGAACGCUGGCGGCGUGCUUAACACAUGCAAGUCGAACGCGAAAGGGACUUCGGUCCUGAGUAAAGUGGCGCACGGGUGAGUAACGCGUAGAUAACCUGUCUUCAUGUCUGGAAUAAUACGCCGAAAGGGGUACUAAUACCGGAUAUUCUUGCUUUUCAUAAGUUAUGCAAGCAAAGGUGGCCUCUGCAUAUGCUACUGCAUGAAGAGGGGUCUGCGUACCAUUAGCUAGUAGGUGGGGUAAUGGCCUACCUAGGCGACGAUGGUUAGCGGGUCUGAGAAGAUGAUCCGCCACACUGGCACUGGAACACGGGCCAGACUCCUACGGGAGGCAGCAGUGAGGAAUAUUGCGCAAUGGGGGAAACCCUGACGCAGCGACGCCGCGUGAGUGAGGAAGGCCUUCGGGUCGUAAAGCUCUGUCAAGAGGAAAGAAGUGUACAAUGGCUAAUACCUGUUGUAUUUGACGGUACCUCUAAAGGAAGCACCGGCUAACUCCGUGCCAGCAGCAGC